GAGCCAGAGCUGGAGCCCAGCGAAAACCAGCUGCAGGACCUCGUUCCCCUAAGCCAGGCCCCGCCUCCCAGCUCUGCCCAGCCUGGGCCCAGCCUGCUGAGUUCGCGAGCCUCACGCUGUGCCCUCCGCCAGCCGCACAGGGCUUCCAGGUGGUGAUGAGAUUCUUCUCAAAAUAUGUUGGUGGCUUGAGAGAUGUCAUGACCAAGUGGUGAUCUAUGCAGAAGG
rnacentral:lncRNA from 1 species